GCCCGAAUGGCGGAAUUGGUAGACGCACUGGACUCAAAAUCCAGCGAGGUUAAACUCGUGCCGGUUCGACUCCGGCUUCGGGUA
rnacentral:tRNA from 1 species